GAUGAACGCUGGCGGCGUGCCUAAUACAUGCAAGUCGAGCGAACAGACGAGGAGCUUGCUCCUUUGACGUUAGCGGCGGACGGGUGAGUAACACGUAGGUAACCUACCUAUAAGACUGGGAUAACUUCGGGAAACCGGAGCUAAUACCGGAUAAUAUUUCGAACCGCAUGGUUCGAUAGUGAAAGAUGGCUUUGCUAUCACUUAUAGAUGGACCUGCGCCGUAUUAGAUAGUUGGUAAGGUAACGGCUUACCAAGGCAACGAUACGUAGCCGACCUGAGAGGGUGAUCGGCCACACUGGAACUGAGACACGGUCCAGACUCCUACGGGAGGCAGCAGUAGGGAAUCUUCCGCAAUGGGCGAAAGCCUGACGGAGCAACGCCGCGUGAGUGAUGAAGGUCUUCGGAUCGUAAAACUCUGUUAUUAGGGAAGAACAAACGUGUAAGUAACUGUGCACGUCUUGACGGUACCUAAUCAGAAAGCCACGGCUAACUACGUG
rnacentral:rRNA from 1 species